UUAUAGGACAAAAACAAAAAACAAAACACACACACACACAAACACAAAUCCAGUAAUCUCAAUUGUAGUUAUACCAAGUUUUACUUGUGGAAGUACCUGUUAAGUCUUCUUUUGCAGUUACCACCAUUGGGUCAGUCCACCAGCCUAACAGAAAUGGUAAAACAAUCUGAUAGAGAGCCAGAAGACGACAUGUACCAGCAAUCUCAAGAAUCCCAGGUGGUUGUGGCUACCAGCCUGAGAAGCACUGUGUGAUCUGAAUGGACUAUUUUAGAGAGAAUUUCUGCUACAGACAAUCAAGCAA